ACUAGUAACCGGCAGGUAGCCUAGUGGUUAGAGCGUUGGACUAGUAACCAGCAGGUAGCCUAGUGGUUAGAGCGUUGGACUAGUAACCAACAGGUAGCCUAGUGGUUAGAGCGUUGGACUAGUAACCAGCAGGUAGCCUAGUGGUUAGAGCGUUGGACUAGUAACCAGCAGGUAGCCUAGUGGUUAGAGCGUUGGACUAGUAACCAACAGGUAGCCUAGUGGUUAGAGCGUUGGACUAGUAACCAGCAGGUAGCCUAGUGGUUAGAGCGUUGGACUAGUAACCGGCAGGUAACCUAGUGGUUAGAGCGUUGGACUAGUAACCGGCAGGUAACCUAGUGGUUAGAGCGUUGGACUAGUAACCGGCAGGUAACCUAGUGGUUAGAGCGUUGGACUAGUAACCAGCAGGUAACCUAGUGGUUAGAGCGUUGGACUAGUAACCGGCAGGUAGCCUAGUGGUUAGAGCGUUGGACUAGUAACCAGCAGGUAGCCUAGUGGUUAGAGCGUUGGACUAGUAACCGGCAGGUAACCUAGUGGUUAGAGCGUUGGACUAGUAACCGGCAGGUAACCUAGUGGUUAGAGCGUUGGACUAGUAACCAGCAGGUAACCUAGUGGUUAGAGCGUUGGACUAGUAACCAGCAGGUAACCUAGUGGUUAGAGCGUUGGACUAGUAACCAGCAGGUAACCUAGUGGUUAGAGCGUUGGACUAGUAACCAGCAGGUAGCCUAGUGGUUAGAGCGUUGGACUAGUAACCAGCAGGUAACCUAGUGGUUAGAGCGUUGGACUAGUAACCGGCAGGUAACCUAGUGGUUAGAGCGUUGGACUAGUAACCAGCAGGUAGCCUAGUGGUUAGAGCGUUGGACUAGUAACCAGCAGGUAACCUAGUGGUUAGAGCGUUGGACUAGUAACCAGCAGGUAGCCUAGUGGUUAGAGCGUUGGACUAGUAACCAGCAGGUAACCUAGUGGUUAGAGCGUUGGACUAGUAACCGGCAGGUAACCUAGUGGUUAGAGCGUUGGACUAGUAACCGGCAGGUAACCUAGUGUUUAGAGCGUUGGACUAGUAACCAGCAGGUAGCCUAGUGGUUAGAGCGUUGGACUAGUAACCAGCAGGUAGCCUAGUGGUUAGAGCGUUGGACUAGUAACCAGCAGGUAGCCUAGUGGUUAGAGCGUUGGACUAGUAACCAGCAGGUAGCCUAGUGGUUAGAGCGUUGGACUAGUAACCAGCAGGUAGCCUAGUGGUUAGAGCGUUGGACUAGUAACCAGCAGGUAGCCUAGUGGUUAGAGCGUUGGACUAGAAACCUGCAGGUAACCUAGUGGUUAGAGCGUUAGACUAGUAACCUGCAGGUAGCCUAGUGGUUAGAGCGUUGGACUAGUAACCGGCAGGUAACCUAGUGGUUAGAGCUUUGGACUAGUAACCAGCAGGUAGCCUAGUGGUUAGAGCGUUGGACUAGUAACCGGCAGGUAACCUAGUGUUUAGAGUGUUGGACUAGUAACCGGCAGGUAGCCUAGUGGUUAGAGCGUUGGACUAGUAACCAGCAGGUAGCCUAGUGGUUAGAGCGUUGGACUAGUAACCAGCAGGUAGCCUUGUGGUCAGAGAGUUGGACUCAGAUCCAAUCCCCGAGCUGACAAGGCAAAAAAUUAAUAAUAGCGUUUCAAAAGUUACUCGCUCUGAGACUUGGAGUAGUUAUUCCCCUUGCUCUGCAUGGGUAACGCUGCCUCGAGGGUGGCUGUUGUCGAUGUGUUCCUGGUUCGAGCGAGGAGAGGGACGGAAGCUAUACUGUUACACUGGCAAUACUGUAGUGCCUAUAAGAACAUCCAAUAGUCAAAGGUUAAUGAAAUACAAAUGGUAUAGAGAGAAAUAGUCCUAUAAUUCCUAUAAUAACUACAACCUCAAACUUAUUACCUGGGAAUAUUGAAUACUCAUGUUAAAAGGAACCACCAGCUUUGGCAGGGUAGCCUAGUGGUUAGAGCAUUGGACUAGUAACCGGAAGGUUGCGAGUUCAAACCCUGACAAGGUACAAAUCUGUCAUUCUGCCCCUGAACAGGCAGUUAACCCACUGUUCCCAGGCCGUCAUUGAAAAUAAGAAUGUGUUCUUAACUGACUUGCCUGGUUAAAUAAAGGUAAAAUAAAUAAAUAUGUGCUCAUGUUCUGAGCAAGGAACUUAAACGUUAGCUUUCUUACAUGGCACAUAUUGCACUUUUACUUUCUUCUCCAACACUUUGUUGUUGCAUUAUUUAAACCAAACUGAACAUGUUUCAUUAUUUAUUUGAGACUAAAUAGAUUUGAUUUAUGUAUUAUAUUAAGUUAAAAUAAGUGUUCAUUCAGUAUUGCUGUAAUUGUCAUUAUUACAAAUAAAUAAAUAAAAAUAGUCUGAUUAAAUCGGUAUCUGCUUUUUUUUGAUCCUCCAAUAAUUGGUAUCGGUGUUGAAAAAUCAUUAAAUCGGUCGACCUCUAACUGGUAGUAUUUCAUUAACAUGACCAGUCAGAUGAAAACGAGAAUCUAAAGAGGUCUAUAGUCUUCUGUAACUGCACAAUGUGUUCCGUGUCACAACUCAGGCAGGCAGUCAUACAUAACAUGCUUCGCAAACUACAACGUAACAAUCUCAUAAUUGCAACCAUGUUUAAUGUUCAUAUGACUAACAACGAAGUUCUUACAAUAUAGGUUCAGGACGCCUAAAUGAUUACAUUGUACUUACAUGAUGAAUAGGUGAACUCUUACCAUACCACCACUAUGGGCAUGAUCUGUACAGUGACAAGGUAGUUUCAAUCAAUUAGAAACCCAUUCUUCUAUACUAAGACCAGUGAAAUGUAGGUUCAACUGACUAACAGAGUGAAGAGCAGAAACAAACAGGUCGCAGCAAUGAAGAACGCGAAGGGGUGGGGGUGAUUUUCCCGCACAACACCAGCAGCAACAUGGUUUAAAAAGUCCCUGGUUGCAUAGGCCUAAAUGAUUUAGCUAAAUAAAAACAUAUAUUUGAUAC